ACGACUCAUAAUCGUGAGGUCGAGGGUUCGAGUCCCUCCCCCGCCACCA
rnacentral:tRNA from 1 species